AUGGUGGGUGAAAAAGUUGAGAAGCCAAAUGCUAAGGAGAAGAAACCUGAAACCAAGAAGGCUGACGCUGGUGGCAAGGUGAAAAAGAGUAAGCUCAAGGCUAAAAAGCAGAAGAAGGGGAAACCCCACUGCAGCCGAAAUCCUGCCCUUGUCAGAGGAAUUGGAAGAUAUUCCCGAUCUGCUAUGUAUUCCAGAAAGGCCUUGUACAAGAGGAAGUACUCGGCAGCUAAAUCCAAGAUGGAAAAGAAAAAAAAGGAGAAGGUUCUUGCAACCGUUACAAAACCAGUUGGUGGUGACAAGAAUGGUGGUACCCGAGUGGUUACACUUCGCAAAAUGCCUAGAUAUUAUCCGACUGAAGAUGUGCCUCGAAAGCUGUUAAGCCAUGGGAAAAAGCCCUUCAGCCAGCAUGUUAGAAAACUGCGAGCCAGCAUCACUCCCGGGACCAUCCUGAUCCACCUCACUGGGGCCACAGAGGCAAGAGGGUGGUUUUCUGGAAGCAACUGGGCAGUGGCUUGUUACUUGUGACUGGCCCUCUGGUCCUCAGUCGAGUUCCUCUGAGAAGAACAUACCAGAAAUUUGUCAUCGCCACCUCCACAAAAAUUGAUAUCAGCAGUGUGAAGAUCCCAAAGCAUCUUAUUGAUGCUGACUUCAAGAAGAAGCAGCUGCAGAAGACCAGGCACUAGGUGGGUAAGAUCUUCGACACAGAAAAAGAGAAAUAUGAGAUUACAGAGCAGCGCAAGAUUGAUCAGAAAGCUGGGGACUUGCAAAUCUUACCAAAAAUCAAAGCUAUUCCUCAGCUCCAGGGCUACCUGUGAUCUGUGUUUGCCCUGACAAAUGGUGUUUAUCCUCACAAAUGAGUGUUCUAA